rnacentral:rRNA from 1 species
GUCCUGGGGGCGGCAGCGGGGGGAAUUAUGCAACAAUGGGGAAACCCAUGCCGCAAGCCGCGGGGGAGGGAAAAUUCUUUUGUUAUAAAAAUCCUCCUCGGGAGAANAUAAUGACGUACCNNGAGAGCCCCGUUUC